rnacentral:misc_RNA from 1 species
GUAUUGUGACAGGAGAGUCUGUAGCGCCAGGGGAAGUGGCUUCCGGAUGAGGUGGAGGUGCCCAAGAACUGGAAGAGCAAGUGGACCGGGAGGUAAAUUUUGCUUCCGAUGGAACAAGAUUUUUUUAAGCAAGAAAACGACGAGCAAGAGAGCAAGGUAAUAGUGCAUGCUUUCCAUUGAAAAGCAGAAAAACGAUAAACCCAGAGAGGAAACGAAAGGUUCAUCCAAAUCAACAACCAAUCCAAUCUAACUCUCCAUAUUUUAUC